CGCAAAAACGGCACCAAGCCCAUCCGGAUUGGAAAACCGGUUCUCCUUCUACACGGAUUAAUUGUACAUCAUGCCGCCGUAAUCAUGGAUUCAUGACACUGGUAACGCUGUAAUGAUCGAUUCAUUGCGUUGGUAAUUUGGAACCAUUAAUCCGAGCGUUACUGUCAGUUCUCCCUUCUCUUUCAAGUAUAAAUAUGUGGACACAUCCAACGAUCUUUCCUCACUACACCCGUCUCACAUUCGACGUCCCAUUACUCAUCCGAGAUGCUGCUUUCUUAGGGAUUGUCAUCAUCCUAUUUUCCAGAUUAUUAUUCCCGGACUCAUCUCACCAGUGUGACCUUUAUUUAUUAUUAUUUCACAAUGGCUGCUGGACAGGUACAUUUGCUGACAUAUUCUUUUGAGAUUAUUUGUUCCUUACUUCUCCUUUAAACUAGCUUCAUACUGUCUGCUAAUACAUACUUUCGAAAAAUUAAUCAAACAUCUCAACAUCCUUCUAGGUGCACAACCUAGCUUCCGUUCUUAGUGUAUCCGCGCAUAUAUCACAGGAUAUGCCUCUGUAGAAAUAAUGACAAAGCGUUCUCAAGCAAACCCAACUUAGCACGCGCACCUCGACUGCUCGAAGAAUACUGGGAAAAUGUCCAUGUGAUCUGCGACUACUUCAAGGCAUCCUGGAGACCGGUGCUGAUAUACAGACCAUGGUGGGAGGUUGCAUACAGAUUGUACAAUACUUCUAAUGUUAUUCAGUUGAAACCGAUCCACAUUUUUAGUUGGACAAUGUUUGUAUGCAGAACGGCUGUAUU